rnacentral:rRNA from 1 species
UGCCAGCCGCCGCGGUAAUACUGAAGGUGCAAGCGUUAAUCGGAAUCACUGGGCGUAAAGCGCUCGUAGGUGGCUUGAAAAGUCUUAUGUGAAAUCUCUUGGCUCGACCAAGAAACGCCAUAAGAAACUUUCAUGCUAGAGAUCAUCAGGGGGAGGUAGAAUUUCAGGUGUAGUGGUGAAAUGCGUAGAUAUCUGAAGGAAUACCAAUGGCGAAAGCAGCCUCCUGGGGUGAAUCUGACAUUGAGGGACGAAAGCGUGGGUAGCAAACCGGAUUAGAUA